rnacentral:rRNA from 1 species
AGAGUUUGAUUAUGGCUCAGGAUGAACGCUGGCGGCGUGCUUAACACAUGCAAGUCGAACGGGAAAUAUUUCAUUGAGACUUCGGUGGAUUUGAUCUAUUUCUAGUGGCGGACGGGUGAGUAACGCGUGGGUAACCUGCCUUAUACAGGGGGAUAACAGUCAGAAAUGGCUGCUAAUACCGCAUAAGCGCACAGAGCUGCAUGGCUCAGUGUGAAAAACUCCGGUGGUAUAAGAUGGACCCGCGUUGGAUUAGCUGGUUGGUGGGGUAACGGCCCACCAAGGCGACGAUCCAUAGCCGGCCUGAGAGGGUGAACGGCCACAUUGGGACUGAGACACGGCCCAG